AGCGGAAAUCCUCCAGAAAACCUCAAAAAACGCACGAUUUUUUCCUUUUUGAGAACAUAACUUUUGAACCCUCGAUGCUUUCAAGUUCGUUCUUUCGGCAAAUUGAAAGUUCAUUAUUCCUCUUUUUAAUGAUAUUUUUAGAUUAUUUUUUAAUUACUUUAAAGAUCCGUCAUUUUUCAAGUACAAACAGUCGGUAUCUCCAAUUUUACAAUGCAAAAACGAUGUUCACGAAGAAUCCUGUCACACAAUGCGGCUCAUAUGAACUCACAACUCUGGACGCCCUCUACCGAUUUCUUUCGUUCGAGCUAUAAAAUAAACAGCAUGAGUUUGUCCAAAGCUAAUGUAAAAAUGAAGUUGAUUGGCCAAUGUUAAAGCCCGUCCAUUUCAGCCUAAAGUUUUUGCGCUAAUCAGAAGCGUUGUUUGAAACUGCAUUGGAACGUGUACGAUCAACAGAUGAUAAUCGACCUACUCCCAUCGUUGUGCUGCCAACUUGCUGUUUCUCUCCGAAUCCGAUGGAAUUAAGGACGAAGAAAAAGAUAGACUAUUGUGCCCUUGACAGAGGUGGGCCCAUCAAAGCUGUGGCGGAGAAGACGUGGCCAACAGCAAAAGCUGUGGUGAUUUGAGAAAAUAGACCGCCCAAUCAGAGGAAGUCAGAGCUGCCAUUUCUUUAGCCACAUUUAUCUCAUUGCCAGAGCUUACUUUUGCCACCAAAUUAGAACUAUUUUAUGUUAAACAUCAUGUAAAUGAAUGUACACAAAUGUACAUGUACGUAUGUUAGUUGUUCCUGAUAGCCAUUGUAAAUGUAUUGUGUAUUUUGAUGUUUUAUAUUGUAUGUUAUAAUUGUCUUUUAUCCAUACGCCUUGUUUGACGUGUGUGAAAUAAAAUAAAACAGGAAUA